AUAAUGGAAAAAAUUGAAAAAAAUAAUGAAAAGUUGAUUAAAAUUAUGUUUUCUUUUAUUAGGAAGAUUUUGUAUUUUGUGGUUGACUUGACCGUUAAAAACUUUGUUCUUAUACACCUAUUUACCUAUAUAAAUAUACAGCCAUUGCCUUCCUAUUGUUUGAUUUCUUGUGCUUGAGGGAUAUAUAUGCAAAGAUAAUGUCGCACAAAAAUUCGUUUUGUAUGGUUUUCGGACCCUUUGUGGGUUGUCCCAACAUUUUUCGUGCCAUGGUGAUCAGUCGUUUAGUCGAUUGGACAGGUUAGAAGAUUUCUGUCAGCUAACGAUAAUAUCUCUGCAUGUAUUGUCUAUGUGAUAAUAUCCAUGGGGGAUUGUCACUACUAUUUGUCGGACAUAACUUUCAUACAUUUGCUGUCUAUCAAUUCAUGGCCAGAACAUUGUGUGAUUUGUUCUUUUACUACUUUACUUAAUCUGAAUCUGAUUUUGCCUUCUGAAACCCCAGUGUAGUACACAGUACAUUCUGUCAGAUUCCCCUUCUAAUUCAUCUUCAGGGAAGCCAUAUAAUUACCGAUCCAGUCCGCCAGGUCCAUUAGUUAGCCGCUCCCCUGAGUUCACAUACCAUACACAGGGGCUAAGUAACUAUUCAUCUAUUUGGAAUUAUUGCUGGGUGGGAUAAUAAUGGCAACUGUGUCCCUUUUCUUUCUUGAAGGAACUUAUGUUAUAUCAAUUUUUGGAAAAGCACCUAAUAAAGUCAAGGCCAUUAUAUUGAAUUGAAGACGUACACAUCUGUGAUGUAGAACAAAGAAAGGAAAGUGGACUAGUCGGUGGUCACCAUUCUACCCAAGCGGUUACUUUAAAAAAAAAAAAAAAGUGGUGCAGUGGUGGUUGGAGGUGUAGUUCCAGAUUAUUCACCAGCAAUGUCAAAAGUGGUUCUAUUUGGGGAUUUAGGAAGAGAAUACUUACCAGAGUUGUGAUUCAUAAGAUGCGUUUGGUCACACUUGUGUUUCCUUAUCUUUCUGGUCAGAAAGUCAAAAUGUAUCAUCUUUAUAUCCCUAGGUGCAGUGUAGUGGAAAUAAACUAUAAAAUUGGGUGAAGUCUUAUUGGAUCUUUUUCAUUCAUACUUUCAGCUGUACAAUCUCUUUCUUUCACUCUUGUUUUAUUUUGGGUCCCAAGACAAGAUGGGUCUUACCAGAAAGGAGGAGGCGACUCUGCAGAUUGCAGCUUACUUGUUAUCCAGUGUGAUGGACUAAUGGCGAUAUCAGUCUGAACAGCAACGGGCAGCGAUGUGAUUGGCUGGACAGCAGUGAGAAGUAAUGUUAAGAGUACUCCAGUGGGCAGGUGGGAAUGCUGCAGGAUCACUGGAAGGAAAGACUGAUAGAAGCAAAGCCUGGAAUUGGAGACCAAUUGGAGAGCCAGUGCUAUGUUUUCAAAAUGCCAUUUGAAGGAAACAUUACACAAAGUGUAUACUUUCUCUCUGAAGAUACCUCAUUUAAAAGUAGAGAUAACGUGAAGGAUGGGAGGGAUAAAUGCUGUACAAUCUGUACAAUCUAUGCCAUCAGUAAUCCGUUUAUAUUUUUACCAAGAUUAAAUCACUCCACUCCUCUCCAAUAUAAUCACAAUUUAUAGAUCUAUUUCUAAAAAUGCGUUUCUAUUUCUAAAGUAUGCGCUGCAAAUUUACAACUGAUGUGAUGAAGUGUGGCGGAGCCUUUGCAGGCGAAAAUUAUACUUUAAUGAAUUUGCCCCUUUGAUUGCUUGUUAGGGAUUCUCAUGGAUUCAUCCGCUGAGGCUAAAGCCUCCCUCUCUUGGGUAUGCUCCUCUGAAGAAUUCCAUUACAUUGUUGCCAUUCAUUUUUAAGAAGGCUAUACUGCAGUGGUCACAGGUUUUAGCAGCAGUGUUAUUUACUAUGUUCCUACACACCACUUUGGGGGGUCAUUGUGCAACUGCCCAAUUUUUGUAGAAAUGUAAAAUACCUUUGAUAGGAUACAUGGCAGGUCCUGCAACUCCUUUAGCCUAGAGCUACUUGGUACAUUCCAGCUCACCACCUAUGUACAGUAUUUCUGACAAGGAAAUGAGAGUAUAAUGGGUAAAAGACUAAUAUGAAAGCUGUUAGAUCAUUGUUAUUGCCACUGUUAUAUUUGAUUAAAUAAGCAAUUUA